rnacentral:rRNA from 1 species
AGUGAACGCUGGCGGUAGGCCUAACACAUGCAAGUCGAACGGCAGCACAGGAGAGCUUGCUCUCUGGGUGGCGAGUGGCGGACGGGUGAGGAAUACAUCGGAAUCUACUCUGUCGUGGGGGAUAACGUAGGGAAACUUACGCUAAUACCGCAUACGACCUACGGGUGAAAGCAGGGGACCUUCGGGCCUUGCGCGAUUGAAUGAGCCGAUGUCGGAUUAGCUAGUUGGCGGGGUAAAGGCCCACCAAGGCGACGAUCCGUAGCUGGUCUGAGAGGAUGAUCAGCCACACUGGACCUGAGACACGGUCCAGACUCCUACGGGAGGAAGCAUUGGGGAAUAUUGGACAAUGGGCGCAAGCCUGAUCCAGCCAUACCGCGUGGGUGAAGAAGGCCUUCGGGUUGUAAAGCCCUUUUGUUGGGAAAGAAAUCCAGCUGGCUAAUACCCGGUUGGGAUGACGGUACCCAAAGAAUAAGCACCGGCUAACUUCGUGCCAGCCGCCGCCGUAA